GUGGGGAAUUUUGGACAAUGGGCGCAAGCCUGAUCCAGCAAUGCCGCGUGCAGGAAGAAGGCCUUCGGGUUGUAAACUGCUUUUGUACGGAACGAAACGGUCCUGGUUAAUACCCGGGGCUAAUGACGGUACCGUAAGAAUAAGCACCGGCUAACUACGUGCCAGCAGCCGCGGUAAUACGUAGGGUGCAAGCGUUAAUCGGAAUUACUGGGCGUAAAGCGUGCGCAGGCGGUGCUGUAAGACAGGCGUGAAAUCCCCGGGCUUAACCUGGGAAUUGCGGUUGGGACUGCAGUGCUGGAGUGCGGCAGAGGGGGAUGGAAUUCCGCGUGUAGCAGUGAAAUGCGUAGAUAUGCGGAGGAACACCGAUGGCGAAGGCAAUCCCCUGGGCCUGCACUGACGCUCAUGCACGAAAGCGUGGGGAGCAAACAGGAUUAGAUACCCUGGUAGUCC
rnacentral:rRNA from 1 species